rnacentral:tRNA from 1 species
AGGAAAGUAUUUAAUUAUAAUAUCUGAUUUGCAUUCAGGAGGUGCUUUUAUAGUCUUUCUUA